rnacentral:rRNA from 1 species
UACGUAGGUGGCAAGCGUUGUCCGGAAUUACUGGGCGUAAAGGGUGUGUAGGCGGAUAUUUAAGUAGAAAGUGAAAGGUUGGAGCUCAACUCCAACAUUGCUUCCUAUACUGGAUGUCUUGAGUUUCGGAGAGGAAGAUGGAACGACACGUGUAGCGGUGAAAUGCGUUGAUAUGUGUCGGAACACCAAUAGCGAAGGCAAUCUUCUGGACGAAUACUGACGCUGAGACACGAAAGCAUGGGUAGCGAACAGG